rnacentral:misc_RNA from 1 species
AAACCCCUCAAGCUCAGCUUGGUGUUGGGGCCUGCCGCCUGGCAGCCCUUAAAAUCAGUGGCGGUGCCAUCUGGCUCUAAGCGUAGUAAUUCUUCUCGCUAUGGAGUCCCGGUGAAUGCUUGCCAUCAACCCCCAAUUUUCUAU